rnacentral:rRNA from 1 species
CGGUGGCUAAUACCGGAUGAGCCGAAAGGUAAAAGAUUAAUUGCCUAGAGAUGAGCUCGCGUCUGAUUAGCUAGUAGGUGUGGUAAGAGCGCACCUAGGCGACGAUCAGUAGCUGGUCUGAGAGGAUGAUCAGCCACACUGGGACUGAGACACGGCCCAGACUCCUACGGGAGGCAGCAGUGGGGAAUUUUCCGCAAUGGGCGAAAGCCUGACGGAGCAAUACCGCGUGAGGGAGGAAGGCUCUUGGGUUGUAAACCUCUUUUCUCAGGGAAUAAGAACUGAAGGUACCUGAGGAAUAAGCAUCGGCUAA